rnacentral:rRNA from 1 species
CCUUGGAAACGAGGUCUAAUACCAAAUACCUUCUUUUAACACAUGUUAAAAAGAGAAAUGCUCCGGCGCUUUGGGAUGGUCUCGCGAUCUAUCAGCUUGUUGGUGAGGUAACGGCUCACCAAAGGCAUCGACGGAUAGCUGGUCUGAGAGGAUGUCCAGCCACAUUGGAACUGAGACACGGUCCAAACUCCUACGGGAGGCAGCAGUAGGGAAUCUUGCACAAUGAGGGAAACCUUGAUGCAGCGACGCCGCGUGCGGGACGAAGGCCCUAGGGUUGUAAACCGCUUUCAGUAGGGACGAAAGUGACGGUACCUACAGAAGAAGCCCCGGCCAACUAUGUG